UACCAGCACCCCGAGUGGUCGGGACGAUUAUUGGGCCUAAAGCAUCCGUAGCCGGUUUUACAAGUCCUCCGUUAAAUCCAGCUGCUUAACAGAUGGGCUGCGGAGGAUACUAUAAGACUAGGAGGCAGGAGAGGCAAGCGGUACUCAGUGGGUAGGGGUAAAAUCCGUUGAUCCAUUGAAGACCACCAGUGGCGAAGGCGGCUUGCCAGAAUGCGCUCGACGGUGAGGGAUGAAAGCUGGUGGAGCAAACAGG
rnacentral:rRNA from 1 species